GACGAACGCUGGCGGCGUGCCUAACACAUGCAAGUCGAACGGAAAGGCCCUGCUCUUGUGGGGUGCUCGAGUGGCGAACGGGUGAGUAACACGUGAGUAACCUGCCCUUGACUUUGGGAUAACAUUAGGAAACUGGGGCUAAUAUCGGAUAGGAGCUCCUGCUGCAUGGUGGGGGUUGGAAAGUUUCGGCGGUGGGGGAUGGACUCGCGGCUUACCCGCUGGUUGGUGGGGUAGUGGCUUACCAAGGUUUUGACGGGUAGCCUGCCUGAGAGCGUAACCGGCGACAUUAGGACUGAGAUACGCCCCAGACGCCUACGGGAGGCAGCAGUGGAAAGUAUUGCGCAGUGAGCGGGAGCCUGAUGCAGCAGCGCCGCGUGCGGGAUGACGGCCUUCGGGUUGUAAACCGCUUUCGCCUGUGACGAGGCGUGAGUGACGGUAAUGAGUAAAGAAGCACCGGCUAACUACGUG
rnacentral:rRNA from 1 species